rnacentral:piRNA from 1 species
UGCUGGGUGUCAGUUUAGCGACUGGCUGA